rnacentral:rRNA from 1 species
GACGUAGGGCGCGAGCGUUGUCCGGAUUUAUUGGGCGUAAAGCGCUCGUAGGCGGCUUGUCGCGUCGACUGUGAAAACCCACGGCUUAACUGUGGGCUUGCAGUCGAUACGGGCAGGCUAGAGUUCGGUAGGGGAGACUGGAAUUCCUGGUGUAGCGGUGAAAUGCGCAGAUAUCAGGAUGAACACCGGUGGCGAAGGCGGGUCUCUGGGCCGAUACUGACGCUGAGGAGCGAAAGCGUGGGGAGCGAACAGG